GACACGCUGGCGGCGUGCCUAACACAUGCAAGUCGAGCGGAGAUAGACUGAUGGUAACUGAAGUUUGUCUUAGCGGCGGACGGGUGAGUAACACGUGGGCAACCUGCCUUGGAGUGGGGGAUAACACCGGGAAAUCGGUGCUAAUACCGCAUAACAUACACAAGCUGCAUGGUAAGUGUAUCAAAGGAGUAAUCCGCUUUAAGAUGGGCCCGCGGCUGAUUAGCUAGUUGGUAAGGUAACGGCUUACCAAGGCGACGAUCAGUAGCCGACCUGAGAGGGUGACCGGCCACACUGGAACUGAGACACGGUCCAGACUCCUACGGGAGGCAGCAGUGGGGAAUAUUGCGCAAUGGGGGGAACCCUGACGCAGCAACGCCGCGUGGAGGAAGAAGGUCUUCGGAUUGUAAACUCCUGUCUUCUGGGAAGAUAAUGACGGUACCAGAGGAGGAAGCCACGGCUAACUACGUG
rnacentral:rRNA from 1 species